rnacentral:misc_RNA from 1 species
AACCUUAUGGACCUGCGGGCGUAUACCUGCGGAAGGAUCAUUACCGAGUUAGGGUAGUCACUCGCUGCCCGACCUCCCAACCCUGUGUCUACCACACUUUGUCGUUGCUUCGGCGGACCGGUCGACCAACUGGUCGUGACCGCCGGGGGCUGGCUCUGUCACCCCUGGAGAGCGUCCGCCGAUGGCCCAACCACAAACUCUUGUACCGAAACGUGUCGUCUGAAUAAUUGAGAAAUCAAA